UGCAAACCUCAAAGCACACCAAAUCCCUUCAUUCAUCCUCAUGCAUAGAUCUCAAAACAUCCUUAGUAUAUGGUCCGUGGUUAGCAAUCACUUAUCGUAUGGAUCUCGAAGCACUUUGAACCCCAUUUAUCCACCUACACAAAUUUCAAAGACCCUUAGUAUAUGUUGUAGCUAAGUAUCAUCCAUUGCACAGAUCUCAAAACACUCCAAACCUCUUCAUUCAUUCACACUCU
rnacentral:lncRNA from 1 species